rnacentral:pre_miRNA from 1 species
AAAGUACUCCCUCCGUCCCAAAAUUCUUGUCUUAGAUUUUUCUAGAUACGGAUGUAUCAAGUCACAUUUUAGUAUUAGAUACAUCCGUAUCUAGACAAAUCUAAUACAAGAAAUUUGGGACAGAGGGAGUAGUUG